AUUGAACGCUGGCGGCAGGCCUAACACAUGCAAGUCGAACGAGUGGCGGACUGGUGCGUAAUGUCUGGGAAACUGCCUGAUGGAGGGGGAUAACUAGUGUAACCGGUAGCUAAUACCGCAUACCAUCAGAUGUGCCCAGAUGGGAUUCGCUUGUUGGUGGGGUAACGGCUCACCAAGGCGACGAUCCCUAGCUGGCCUGAGAGGAUGACAAGCCACACUGGAACUGAGAUACGGUCCAGACUCCUACGGGAGGCAGCAGUGGUGAAUAUUGCACAAUGGGCGAAAGCCUGAUGCAGCCAUGCCGCGUGUAUGAAGAAGGCCUUCGGGUGGUAAAGUACUUUCAGCGGGGAGGCGUUACCCGCAGAAGAAGCACCGGCUAACUACGUGCCAGCAGCCGCGGUAAUAC
rnacentral:rRNA from 1 species